GCUCUUAAAGCAUUGCUGGCGAUGCAACGGUCUUGUAAACCGUGGAACCGGGUUCGAUUCCUGGUGGGAGCACCA
rnacentral:tRNA from 1 species